rnacentral:tRNA from 1 species
GAGGGUAUAGCUCAGUGGUAGAGCACCUGCUUAACAUGCACGAGGUUCUGGGCUCAAGCCCCAGUACCUCUG